rnacentral:sRNA from 1 species
GCUGGGCGUGGUGGUGCACUCCUGUAAUCCCAGCUGCUUGAGAGGCUAAGAUAGGAGGAUUGCGAGUUCAAAGCUAGCCUCAGCAAUGGCGUGCAAGGUGCUAAGCAAUUCAGUAAGACCCUGUCUCUA